GAGUUAGGCUCAGUGGACCUCUCAUUUGGAGGGAGGGGAGCCAAAACAUGGGUCUGUCUUUUAAAACCCUGAGAUUAUAUCUCAUAACUAGAGUUGGGACUUUCACCUCAGUAAGUGCCAGUGAUCUUUUCCAAGAGCCGAUCUCAGAGGUAGCAAUAACAAAUUGGAAUGAGGGGCAGACUGGUCACAGACAUAGAAAUUGAUACUUAAAAGGAGGAAUAGACACUUUCCAGGAAGUGGAAGGAAGUAGACCAGGAGCUUUUGAGGCAGAAUACAGAAAAGUGAAGGUCAGCAGGAGUGUGGCAUAUCGGGGGAGGGAAGUGAACUAUGGGUAUUUUGUUCAACUGUGUUAGCCUCUCUUGAGAAGCUAACAGCCUUAUUCUUGUGUGAGAAGUGCCAGAAGAAAAGGUAAGUGUUAGUUGCACAUAAUUUACAUCUCCACUGCUAUAGAAACCAAGAGGUUUUUGUUUGUUUUUUUUUUUGGCAAAAUGGGUAAGUAGACUCUCAAUCAAAAAUCACCUUAUACAUUUUUCUUUGAAAGUGAUCAGUUUUAAGUCACUGUAAGUAAUUUUCAAACCUAUAAGCCGAUUUUUGAAGCAAUGCUGGUUCUUUCGGAAGAGUUAUUUCAGUAAGCUUUCCUAGUUCAUAAAAUUGAUUUUGUUGGUUUCCAGAGCUAUUCUGGGAUGAAAAGAAAACUACCCUUCAAUCUAAAAGGAGUUCUUAGCUGUUGUAGACACUGUCUUAUUUUUAUUAGAUUGUUUAAACACACACACAAUUGAUAAUAGUGUAACAAACUUGCAGUUUGAUCCCUAUUUCUUGUCUUCUACAAAUGCUAAAAAAAACAAAAACAACAACAAAAAAAACCACACACACACACACACACACACACACACACACACCAAAAAACAAAACUCUACUGCUUAACAAAAAAUUAAGUGGAAAAAUUUCCAAUUAGUUUGUGCUGCAGAUGUGAAGAGCUGGCUAUUUCUGUCUUCUCAGGUCAGAAAAGAGCUAAACUUCGACCUUAGAAGAUGAGUAAUAACAUGUGUUUGAAGCAGUCUGAUUGAAGGAAGGCAUCCAAAAAGGCCUAGGGUUGUUGGAAACAGCAAGUAAAAUAAUAGCAAAUGUGUUGUCAUAACAAAACAAGCUGGAGACUUCCCAAGGUAGAAGAAAGAUGAUCUUUUGUAGCAUGCAAAAGCUGAAAGAAGGGGCUGGAACUCACAGAUUGAAGGCACGAGCUAAGACCUUUAAUACAUAUUAGUUAUUCUAAUUCUCUGUAAAGUAGAUAUGAUCCCUCCCAUUUUAUGAAUGAGGACAUUAAGGUUUUGAUGUCUUGUCAUUUG
rnacentral:lncRNA from 1 species